rnacentral:rRNA from 1 species
UACGGGGGGAGCAAGCGUUGUUCGGAUUUACUGGGCGUAAAGGGCGCGUAGGCGGCCAGUGCAAGUCAGUUGUGAAAUCUCCGAGCUUAACUCGGAAAGGUCAACUGAUACUGCUCGGCUAGAGUGCGGAAGGGGCAACUGGAAUUCUUGGUGUAGCGGUGAAAUGCGUAGAUAUCAAGAGGAACACCUGCGGCGAAGGCGGGUUGCUGGGCCGACACUGACGCUGAAGCGCGAAAGCGUGGGGAGCAAACAGG